CACCUCUUCCCAUCUCGAACAGAGAAGUUAAGCCCGCCUGCGCAGAUGGUACUGCAUUUAUGUGGGAGAGUAUGUCGUCGCCUUUC
rnacentral:rRNA from 1 species